CUUGCUUCACAUAAGAGGUCUAGCCUGCCCAGUGACAAAGUUUAACGGCCGCGGUAACCUAACCGCGCGAAGGUAGCAUAAUCACUUGUUCUUUAAAUAGGGACUAGUAUCAACGGCAUCACGAGGGUCGCACUGUCUCCUCCCUCCAAUCAGUGAAACUGAUCUCCCCGUGAAAAAGCGGGGAUAAAGAUAUAAGACGAGAAGACCCCAUGGAGCUUUAAACCCAACAGCAACUCAGUAACAUAGUUCCUCAUAACCCACAGAGAAAUGCACAUCGGUUUUAGGUUGGGGUGACCGCGGAGUAAAAAUUAUCCUCCACGACGAAAAGAACUAAAUCUUUAUCUAAGAAUUACUAUUCUAAGAAUUAGUAUACUAACGAACAAUGACCCAAUAAUUGAUCAACGAAACA
rnacentral:rRNA from 1 species